rnacentral:snRNA from 1 species
GUCUUUGCGCUUGGGGCAAUGACGCAGCUAAUGAGGUUCUAACCGAGGCGCGUCUAUUGCUGGUUGAAAACUAUUUCCAAACCCCCUCCUAGGCCUAAGCUUGUCUUGGGCCUUCGAGAAUUUCUGGAAGGGCUCCCUUCGGGGUAAAGCC